rnacentral:lncRNA from 1 species
AAGUGUAUGAAUAAGUAUAUUUUAUAUGUGUGUGUGUGUGUGUGUGUGUGAUUGGUAUCUCUCGGCUGGGGGUCGUUCCUUCUUUUGUCUCUUUGAUUCCCAUGUGGAAAGAUAUGCUCUGAUAUUAAAACUAACAAUCCCUUAUUGUUCUCUUAUUUCCUCCCCACCCUCUUUACUACCACACCCUCCACCCCAUCCUUUCUUUACUCCUUAACUCUUCAUCUCUUCACUUUAUCUGCUCCUCCUCCUCUUCCUCUUCCUCCUCCUCUUAUCACACUCCUCUUCUCUACUCCUCUCUCUAUCUCUAUCACUUACUUCUUUACAUUCUUGUCUAUCCUUCAUAUAUCCAUCAUAUUUCUUCAUAUAUCAUCGUUUACCCUCAUGUAUCUUCAUAUAUCUUCUCUCCUGGUAGUUGAGACGCAGCAGGGUGGCUCCAGCGGUGUCGUGAUCGCCGUGGUGGUGUGUGUGCUCCUGCUGCUGCUCCUGGUGGCGUCGCUCUACUGCCUCAGCAAGAAGGGAAAGUUGCCGUGCAGCAAAAAGCGGAAGAUGGAAGUAUCUGGGGACGGGAACAAUGCUAACAUAGUGAUGACGGAGACUGGCGAAAAAGAGAAGCAAAACGAGGGGUCAGGACUGCUCAACAAACAGCAGGUCUAA